AGCCCUUGUAGCGCAGAGGCUAGCGCGCUGGACUUCUAAUUCAAAGGUCCCGGGUUCUAAUCCCGGCAAGGUUA